AAGGUAUAAAGUUUUUAUAGAAAGCCGCUAACUUUCUUCAUAGCAGUUAAAUUCUGUUAAUACCUUU
rnacentral:tRNA from 1 species